rnacentral:rRNA from 1 species
GACGAACGCUGGCGGCGUGCUUAACACAUGCAAGUCGAACGAUGAAGAAAAGAAUUGAAGCUUCGGCAGAAAUUCAUUUCGGAUUAGUGGCAGACGGGUGAGUAACGCGUGAGCAACCUACCUCUUACAAAGGGAUAGCCUCGGGAAACCGGGAUUAAUACCAUAUAACAUUGCGACGAAGCAUUUCGAUGCAAUCAAAGCUACGGCGGUAAGAGAUGGGCUCGCGUCCCAUUAACCAGAUGGUGAGGUAACGGCUCACCAUAGUAACGAUGGGUAACCGGCCUGAGAGGGUGAACCGUCACACUGGAACUGAGACACGGUCCAGAAUCCUACGGGAGGCAGCAGUGGGGAAUAUUGCACAAUGGAGGGAACUCUGAUGCCGCGACGCCGCGUGAGUGAUGAAGGAAUUCGUUUCGUAAAACUCUGUUCUAUGGGAAGAAAAGGACUUUACCAUAGGAGAAAGCUCCGGCUAAAUACGUG